rnacentral:rRNA from 1 species
GCUCAGAACGAACGCUGGCGGCAGGCUUAAUCCAUGCAAGUCGCGCGGUAAGUGCUCCUUCGGGAGUACACGAGCGGCGAACGGGUGAGUAACGGGUGGACAACCUGCCUCUUGAAGGAGAACAACAGCGGGAAACUGCUGCUAAUGCUCCGUACCUUCUGUAGUCGCAUGUCCGCAGAGAAAGGCGCCUCAAAGCGUCGCCGAGAGAUGGAUCCGCCCCGCAUUAGCUAGUUGGUGAGAUAAUAGCUCACCAAGGCUACGAUGCGUAGCCGGACUGAGAGGUUGGCCGGCCACACUGGGACUGAGACACGGCCCAGACACCUACGGGUGGCAGCAGUAGGGAAUAUUGGACAAUGGGCGAAAGCCUGAUCCAGCUAUGCCGCGUGGAUGACGAAGGCCUUCGGGUCGUAAAGUCCUUUUAUAAGGGAAGAACAUCCCGGGUAGGAAAUGCCCCGGGCCUGACGGUACCUUAUGAAUAAGCAACGGCUAACUACGUGCCAGCAGCCGCGGUAAUACGUAGGUUGCAAGCGUUGUUCGGAAUUACUGGGCGUAAAGGGAGCGCAGGCGGCUUGAUUAGUCUGAAGUGAAAGUCCGGGGCUCAACCCCGGAAAUGCUUUGGAUACUGUCAAACUCGAGUACGUGAGAGGAAGGCGGAAUUCAAGGUGUAGCGGUGAAAUGCUUAGAUAUCUUGAGGAACACCAAUGGCGAAAGCAGCUUUCUGGCACGAAACUGACGCUGAGGCCCGAAAGCGUGGGGAGCGAACAGGAUUAGAUACCCUGGUAGUCCACGCCGUAAACGUUGUGCACUAGGUGUAGGAGGUAUCGACCCCUUCUGUGCCGCAGCUAACGCAUUAAGUGCACCGCCUGGGGAGUACGCGCGCAAGCGUGAAACUCAAAGGAAUUGACGGGGGCCCGCACAAGCGGUGGAGCAUGUGGUUUAAUUCGAGGCAACGCGAAGAACCUUACCCAGGCUUGACAUCCUGCGCUACUUAUGGAAACAUGAGGUUCUCUUCGGAGACGCAGAGACAGGUGUUGCAUGGCUGUCGUCAGCUCGUGUCGUGAGAUGUUGGGUUAAGUCCCGCAACGAGCGCAACCCUUAUCCAUAGUUACCAGCGGUUCGGCCGGGAACUCUAUGGAGACUGCCCGUGAUAAGCGGGAGGAAGGUGGGGACGACGUCAAGUCAUCAUGGCCCUUACGUCUGGGGCUACACACGUGCUACAAUGGCCGGAACAGUGAGCAGCAAAAUCGCGAGGUAGAGCUAAUCUCAAAAAUCCGGUCUCAGUUCGGAUUGGAGUCUGCAACUCGACUCCAUGAAGUUGGAAUCGCUAGUAAUCGCGUAUCAGCAAUGACGCGGUGAAUACGUUCCCGGGCCUUGUACACACCGCCCGUCACAUGACCCGAGUCGGUUGCACCCGAAGUCGCUGACCCAACCCGCAAGGGAGGGAGGUGCCGAAGGUGUGAUUGGUAAGGGGGAUGAAGUC